rnacentral:rRNA from 1 species
GACGAACCGUGCGAACGUUGUUCGGAAUCACUGGGCUUAAAGGGCGCGUAGGCGGGCUCGCAAGUCCGGGGUGAAAGCCCCCAGCUCAACUGGGGAAGUGCCUUGGAUACUGCGGGCCUCGAGGGAGGUAGGGGCGUGCGGAACUUCCGGUGGAGCGGUGAAAUGCGUAGAUAUCGGAAGGAACACCGGUGGCGAAAGCGGCGCGCUGGACCUCUUCUGACGCUGAGGCGCGAAAGCCAGGGGAGCAAAGCGGG